rfam:Oryza glaberrima chromosome 3 Oglab03_0092_1, whole genome shotgun sequence.
AAUAAGUGCUGUUCAAGUCCAAUGUCUGACCGUUCGUCUUAUUUGGAAAAAAAAUAUGAUUAGUAUUUUAUUGUUAUUAGAUGAUAAAAUAUGAAUAGACUCCAUGUGUGACUAUUUUUUUUUUAUGUUUUUCAUAAAUUUUUCAAAUAAGACAGACGAUCGAAACACUGGACAUGGAUAUCUAUGGAUGCACCUAUU